rnacentral:rRNA from 1 species
AGUGAACGCUGGCGGUAGGCCUAACACAUGCCAGCCGAACGGCAGCACAGUAAGAGCUUGCUCUUACGGGUGGCGAGUGGCGGACGGGUGCGGAAUACAUCGGAAUCUACUUUUUCGUGGGGGAUAACGUAGGGAAUCUUACGCUAAUACCGCAUACGGCCUACGGGUGAAAGCAGGGGAUCUUCGGCCCUUGCGCGAUUGAAUGAGCCGAUGUCGGAUUAGCUAGUUGGCGGGGUAAAGGCCCACCAAGGCGACGAUCCGUAGCUGGUCUGAGAGGAUGAUCAGCCACACUGGAACUGAGACACGGUCCAGACUCCUACGGGAGGCAGCAGUGGGGAAUAUUGGACAAUGGGCGCAAGCCUGAUCCAGCCAUACCGCGUGGGUGAAGAAGGCCUUCGGAUUGUAAAGCCCUUUUGGUGGGAAAGAAAAGCAGCAGGUUAAUACCCCGCUGUUCUGACGGUACCCAAAGAAUAAGCACCGGCUAACUUCGUG